AAUAUAAGUCCAAAAUCAAUAAAAUUUUUAUCAUUGGAUCACAAAUCUUUUGUUCUAUCAUUUGAUACUAUCAAAUCAGAGUUUUGGUAAAAUUACAAUUUUGCCCCUGAAGAGCAAUAAGUCUUUUUCAAGUGAAAAUCAUUGGUACCCCUUUAACUGCUUUGUAAUCAUCAAAAUCAAUCUAAGGAGCACCACCCUUUAUAAUGAUGCCUAAAUUUUGAUCUAAGACACCCCAAGGGAUUAGGACUUUGAUUCAAAUCAAAUUUGAAUCAGAUUAGGUUUUAUCUAUGAUGAGUCCAAGAA
rnacentral:lncRNA from 1 species